CUACCUGCAGUCGACGGUAGCACAGAGAGCUUGCUCUCGGGUGACGAGUGGCGGACGGGUGAGUAAUGUCUGGGAAACUGCCUGAUGGAGGGGGAUAGCUACUGGAAACGGUAGCUAAUACCGCAUAACGUCGCAAGACCAAAGAGGGGGACCUUCGGGCCUCUUGCCAUCAGAUGUGCCCAGAUGGGAUUAGCUAGUAGGUGGGGUAACGGCUCACCUAGGCGACGAUCCCUAGCUGGUCUGAGAGGAUGACCAGCCACACUGGAACUGAGACACGGUCCAGACUCCUACGGGAGGCAGCAGUGGGGAAUAUUGCACAAUGGGCGCAAGCCUGAUGCAGCCAUGCCGCGUGUAUGAAGAAGGCCUUCGGGUUGUAAAGUACUUUCAGCGGGGAGGAAGGUGUUGUGGUUAAUAACCGCAGCAAUUGACGUUACCCGCAGAAGAAGCACCGGCUAACUCCGUGCCAGCAGCCGCGGUAAUACGGAGGGUGCAAGCGUUAAUCGGAAUUACUGGGCGUAAAGCGCACGCAGGCGGUCUGUCAAGUCGGAUGUGAAAUCCCCGGGCUCAACCUGGGAACUGCAUUCGAAACUGGCAGGCUAGAGUCUUGUAGAGGGGGGUAGAAUUCCAGGUGUAGCGGUGAAAUGCGUAGAGAUCUGGAGAAUACCGGUGGCGAAGGCGGCCCCCUGGACAAAGACU
rnacentral:rRNA from 1 species